rnacentral:misc_RNA from 1 species
AAUUCAUAACUGUUGUUUAAUAGGGAGGUGCGGCGUUCCCCACAGAUGAUGCCUAAAACUUUUUAGCCAUGAUUCAUCAAUAAACUAAAGCUAAAACAAAAUGGUAUAAAGCCUAGCUCCAAACACCAAGCAUUGUACAACAGUCGGGACUCUGUAGUGCAAACAACUGCAACCUCUAGUUGUGCUGCCACGAAUCCGGGCCAACUUUGUAAUUCAUCCAGCAACAUAACUGAACAGAUCACUGCUGUGGCUGUUGGUAAGUUCCUGGUUGCUGAUAGUUCCCAUAUCCAGGAUAGCCACCAUAAUACAU